rnacentral:rRNA from 1 species
ACGAACGCUGGCGGCGUGCUUAACACAUGCAAGUCGAACGGAAAGGCCCUGCUUUUGUGGGGUGCUCGAGUGGCGAACGGGUGAGUAACACGUGAGUAACCUGCCCUUGACUUUGGGAUAACUUCAGGAAACUGGGGCUAAUACCGGAUAGGAGCUCCUGCUGCAUGGUGGGGGUUGGAAAGUUUCGGCGGUUGGGGAUGGACUCGCGGCUUAUCAGCUUGUUGGCGGGGUAGUGGCUUACCAAGGCUUUGACGGGUAGCCGGCCUGAGAGGGUGACCGGCCACAUUGGGACUGAGAUACGGCCCAGACUCCUACGGGAGGCAGCAGUGGGGAAUAUGGCACAAUGGGCGGAAGCCUGAUGCAGCAACGCCGCGUGCGGGAGGACGGCCUUCGGGUGGUAAACCGCUUUCGCCUGUGACGAAGCGUGAGUGACGGUAAUGGGUAAAGAAGCACCGGCGAACUACGU